rnacentral:piRNA from 2 species
UGGAGGAAAGUGAUUGAUCUGCCGGAGAC